ACGCUCGACACCUACUGGAGGCAGCAGUGGGGAAUAUUGCACAAUGGGGGAAACCCUGAUGCAGCAACGCCGCGUGAGUGAAGAAGUAUUUCGGUAUGUAAAGCUCUAUCAGCAGGGAAGAUAAUGACGGUACCUGACUAAGAAGCUCCGGCUAAAUACGUGCCAGCAGCCGCGGUAAUCUGAGGCGGGCUGGCAAGGC
rnacentral:rRNA from 1 species